rnacentral:rRNA from 1 species
AGACGGGGGGGGCGAGCGUUGUUCGGAAUUACUGGGCGUAAAGGGCGCGCAGGCGGCUUGGGAAGUCUUGGGUGAAAGCCCCCAGCUCAACUGGGGAACGGCCUGAGAAACCACUAGGCUGGAGUGCUGGAGAGGGAAGCGGAAUUCCCGGUGGAGCGGUGAAAUGCGUAGAUAUCGGGAGGAACACCAGAGGCGAAGGCGGCUUCCUGGACAGACACUGACGCUGAGGCGCGAAAGCUAGGGGAGCAAACGGGAUUAGAAACCCGAGUAGUCC